rnacentral:rRNA from 1 species
GACGAACGCUGGCGGCGUGCUUAACACAUGCAAGUCGAACGGAAAGGCCCUGCUUUUGUGGGGUGCUCGAGUGGCGAACGGGUGAGUAACACGUGAGUAACCUGCCCUUGACUUUGGGAUAACUUCAGGAAACUGGGGCUACUACCGGAUAGGAGAUCCUGCUGCAUGGUGGGGGUUGGAAAUUUUCGGCGGUUGGGGAUGGACUCGCGGCUUAUCAGCUUGUUGGUGGGGUAGUGGCUUACCCAGGCUUUGACGGGUAGCCGGCCUGAGAGGGUGACCGGCCACAUUGGGACUGAGAGACGGCCCAGACUGCUACGGGAGGCAGCAGUGGGGAAUAUUGCACAAUGGGCGGAAGCCUGAUGCAGCAACGCCGCGUGCGGGAUGACGGCCUUCGGGUUGUAAACCGCUUUCGCCUGUGACGAAGCGUGAGUGACGGUAAUGGGUAAAGAAGCACCGGCUAACUACGUG